UGGAGAGAACAGCCAAGGACAUCAAGAAGUUUCUUUCAACCUGGCCAAAGAAUUUAUUUUAUGUCACACAAGGAUAGAAGAUCUGCACUGAAGAUUUUGGAAGAUGGACAAAUCCUUUAAAGGCUAGUACCAGGUGACGGCUGGACUGCAGGAAUCUCCAUCUUCGACUAAAGAAAACUUUGCAGUGAAAACACUGUUGAAAUUGCAAUAUUUUUGUGGAAUGAU
rnacentral:lncRNA from 1 species